CAUGUAACACAAGUUCAGUUGUACACCCAAAUCCGGAAAGACCUUUGUCGCUCUCUUGUUCGUGUGCAUGGAACCAUUCUUUCAGGAACACAACAAGUGCAAGUGCUAAGUUUUAUAAACUUAACGGAGUUCAGUUGCAACACCUACAAAUACGGACUCUUCCUUUUAUAAAUAAAAACUACCCUCCGAUUGAACUGCAAGUGGAAAACAGAAUGAAAAACAUUUUUGUAACGCAAUUUGAGUAAACUAGAGAUGAAAAUGCCAAUCACACACCUGUUGUAAGAGGCCGCUAGCAGAGUCCUGGAGACAGGAAUGAACUCAUUACAGAGGACCUCCACCUGCUUGAAGAAGCAGGUGGAGGUGGAUGAAGUGGAUUGUCAGCUGGCACAGAAACAGCAGGAAUUCAAAGCCCUUGCACAGAGGAGGGCAGGGCUAUAGCUGAAACAGUAGGCAGUGAGUUACAUUACACCACUCACCAUGAGCGAAGGAAUUUCAAUA